AUCACUCAAUGAGACAAAUGACUGGUCCCUGCUGCAGUGUGAGGUUCAGGGCUAUCCAGAACCUGAAGUAGAGUGGCGGGACAGUGCUGGAAACAAACUACCUGCUGAGAAGACCCAGG